rnacentral:rRNA from 1 species
UACGUAGGGGGCGAGCGUUGUCCGGAAUCAUUGGGCGUAAAGCGCGUGUAGGCGGCCCGGUAAGUCUGGUGUGAAAUCUUGGGGCUCAACCCCAAGCGGUCACUGGAUACUGUCGGGCUAGAGUCCGGAAGAGGAGAGUGGAAUUCCUGGUGUAGCGGUGGAAUGCGCAGAUAUCAGGAGGAACACCCAUUGCGAAGGCAGCUCUCUGGUACGUGACUGACGCUGAGACGCGAAAGCGUGGGGAGCGAACAGG